rnacentral:rRNA from 1 species
GAACUGAAGAGUUUGAUCAUGGCUCAGAUUGAACGCUGGCGGCAGGCCUAACACAUGCAAGUCGAGCGGAUGAAGGGAGCUUGCUCCUGGAUUCAGCGGCGGACGGGUGAGUAAUGCCUAGGAAUCUGCCUGGUAGUGGGGGAUAACGUCCGGAAACGGGCGCUAAUACCGCAUACGUCCUGAGGGAGAAAGUGGGGGAUCUUCGGACCUCACGCUAUCAGAUGAGCCUAGGUCGGAUUAGCUAGUUGGUGGGGUAAAGGCCUACCAAGGCGACGAUCCGUAACUGGUCUGAGAGGAUGAUCAGUCACACUGGAACUGAGACACGGUCCAGACUCCUACGGGAGGCAGCAGUGGGGAAUAUUGGACA